AUCCAAAGGAUCAUCAUGGCCCUUUGCUAGAGUGGGAGCUGACAGGGCCAGAUAAUAAACAGAUCCUGCCUAAAGUCCAGGCAGGCUUAUGUGCCUUUAGUAGGUAUGUGGGACCCACUCAGUGGACAUUCCCCUAAUCUCUGAGUGUAUGAUUGGAAUUGAUAUGCUUGGAAGUUGGAGUAACUCCACCUUGAUCACUUGUCCUCUGAGUGAAAUGCUCUUAUACUGACUAAAUUUUAGUUAGAAGUCCUUCUCCUGGAACUUCGGCUUUUGUGGCUUAUACAACAUGCGAUGCAGUGAGCCUCGAGUUCCAUAAGGUGGCAUCAACCCACUAGAGUGAGUAGGGGACACGGCUGAUUUUAUUUCAGGUGACCUUGGACCUUCAACUUUCAUUAAUUCCUAUAGUUGUUUAUGCAAAUAGAAAAUUCAAAGACAUUGUAAAAGCUUCCUUCAUAUCUAAUAGCUUCUGACUUACAAAAAGAAAAUUUCAAA
rnacentral:lncRNA from 1 species